CCAGGCAGCCAGAAAAGGCAGCCCAUUGUCUUCGAAAGGAGGAAAUAAAAGGACACCUCCCAAACUCAAAUCUGAGGUAAAAGAAGAAGAAGCAACAGAAAGAACAUAAAGUUCACUACAGAAUGAGACCCCCGAGGAAGGGCUACUCUGAACCGUCCCUAUGCUGUGCCUUUUCCAAAGCUACUCAGCUUUUGGCCCAGUGGUAAAAGAAUCGGCCUGCAAUGCAG